ACCCGACUGCUAUCGGGGUGGGACUAAGCCAUGGGAGUCGUACGCCCCGGUUACCGGGGCGUGGCGGACGGCUGAGUAACACGUGGCUAACCUACCCUCGGGACGGGGAUAGCUCCGGGAAACUGGAGCUAAUCCCCGAUAGGCGGGGAGGCCUGGAAGGGUCCCCCGCCGAAAGGGUCCUGCGGGGAUGUCCGCAGGGCCGCCCGAGGAUGGGGCCACGGCCCAUCAGGUAGUUGGCGGGGUAACGGCCCGCCAAGCCGAUAACGGGUAGGGGCCGUGGGAGCGGGAGCCCCCAGAUGGGCCCUGAGACAAGGGCCCAGGCCCUACGGGGCGCACCAGGCGCGAAAACUCCGCAAUGCGGGCAACCGUGACGGGGCCACCCCGAGUGCCCCGAAGAGGGGCUUUUCCCCGCCGUAAACAGGCGGGGGUAAUAAGCGGGGGGCAAGUCUGGUGUCAGCCGCCGCGGUAAUACCAGCCCCG
rnacentral:rRNA from 1 species